rnacentral:lncRNA from 1 species
GAAAGAACUUGGAGGAUGAUGAGCUUGAACCGCCAUUAAAUAAGAUGUAUAGAAAUGUAUGAAGCAUCUACCAUCAGAUAAUAAGGGCAUGCAUGUGUUUGUGUAUGAGAAAAUGAUGGUGAUGAUUUUUUAUAAAAAAAGAAGAAGAAAAAGGAGAAAGAAUGGGAGAAAUAAAUGGGGAAGAUGAGGUUUUAGAGGGGAAGGGACGAAAGAGUACAGACUUGUGUGGGUCUUUUAAAGCUCUCCACAUUGUGUGCAUGAUUCUCAUUAAUGUUACCCAACUCUUUCUUUUCUUUUCUGUAUAAUCUUC